AACUGGUGGUGCAGGUGGAUGGCCAA
rnacentral:piRNA from 1 species